rnacentral:tmRNA from 1 species
GGGGGCGAUCGGUUUCGACGGGGGUGGACGGUAACCAGGUGGCACGCCGCGGCUUCCCGUCGCCGCGUUAAAAAGGCGGGAAAAGAUAAACGCCGAUAACUACGCUUACGCCUGCUAAUUAACUAGCGGGCCGCCCGCCGGAUGAGCCUUCCCGCGGCGCACCGGCCGGGCGUCGGAAUAGCGGGCUAAGCCGAGGCGGCGGCCCCUUCCGCCGAGGUCGAAAAUCCCCAAGGGGGCUGGCGCGCGACGUGCCCGCCCGUGGGCUUAGGCGCGCGCGAGACCGAUACGCGGGACAAGCGUGUAGAGGCCUGGCGGCCGCACUUCCGGACGCGGGUUCGAUUCCCGCCGCCUCCAAUA